GACGAACGCUGGCGGCGUGCUUAACACAUGCAAGUCGAACGGAAAGGCCCUGCUUUUGUGGGGUGCUCGAGUGGCGAACGGGUGAGUAACACGUGAGUAACCUGCCCUUGACUUUGGGAUAACUUCAGGAAACUGGGGCUAAUACCGGAUAGGAGCUCCUGCUGCAUGGUGGGGGUUGGAAAGUUUCGGCGGUUGGGGAUGGACUCGCGGCUUAUCAGCUUGUUGGUGGGGUAGUGGCUUACCAAGGCUUUGACGGGUAGCCGGCCUGAGAGGGUGACCGGCCACCUUGGGACUGAGAUACGGCCCAGACUCCUACGGGAGGCAGCAGUGGGGAAUAUUGCACAAUGGGCGGAAGCCUGCUGCAGCAACGCCGCGUGCGGGAUGACGGCCUUCGGGUUGUAACCCGCUUUCGCCUGUGACGAAGCGUGAGUGACGGUAAUGGGUAAAGAAGCACCGGCUAACUACGUG
rnacentral:rRNA from 1 species